rnacentral:rRNA from 1 species
CGGGUGAGUAAUACAUCGGAACGUGCCCAGUAGUGGGGAUAACCCGGCGAAAGCCGGACUAAUACCGCAUACGACCUACGGGUGAAAGCAGGGGAUCGCAAGACCUUGCGCUAUUGGAGCGGCCGAUGUCAGAUUAGCUAGUUGGCGGGGUAAGAGCCCACCAAGGCGACGAUCUGUAGCUGGUCUGAGAGGACGACCAGCCACACUGGGACUGAGACACGGCCCAG